GCCUGGGUGGCUCAGUCGGUUGAGCAUCCGACUUCGGCUCAGGUCAUGAUCUCACAGUCUGUGGGUUCGAGCCCCGCGUCGGGCU
rnacentral:tRNA from 1 species